UUCAUUAUGUGUUAAUAUCAGAAGCAAUCGUUAAAUUAGUGAUUUUGUGACCAAAAGGUCAAUGUAACCAAACUUCUUAAGGUCUAGUAAGCCAAUAUAUUGUUAUAACCGCAUCCAAGACACAACCUUGAAUAAGAGUCAUUUUUGAAACUAAGUGCAAAAGAAAAAUUUGCUUUUUCUGCCACAUCUUUAGGAAAUAGACAGGACACGUUUUAGUGAUUGGGAUACUGACACAAUGAAAACUACAAUGAAGUUUAUUCUUGUAUUCAGUACAUUAGCUGUAAUUGGAACAGCUGGUAACUGCUCACCUCCCAGUUUUAAAAAUGAAAAUAUCACACAACUACAAACGAGAGGACAAGCUGCUCAUACUUGUAAAAUGUUCUUGGCCCUUACACUGAUUUUGACUGGUUUGAAAUUGGUGUUACUCUGUUUAAUGUUCAGAUACAUUUACGAUCUUGCAGAUUGCUAAGUAACAAACGACUUCAAUUUCUCUUUUUCCCCUAAUGGUAAAAACUAUGUAAGUAAAAGUAUUUGAUAAUAGCAUAUUAUGAUUUAUAUUUUAUUAAAGUAUUUAUUAUUUAUGCUCUAUAUUAUUUAAAUUAAAUUUUUUAAGUGUACGUUCGUUGCGCUCUUUAUUAAUUUUGUGUUGUACCUUAUUUUAUGAAAAAGAGAGAGUGUGAAUGUCUGUAUAAAACUAGCCAACACCAAUAACUUCUGAUUGAAACAAGAUACGAAAUAUAUAUUUUAUAAACUUUAUCAUUGUUUUUAUAUUAAUCACCAGAGUUCAACUGUUAAAAUAAAUGUAAUAUUUUCCCAUUAAUUAUUACUUUUUCUACAAAAUUAAUAAUUUCGUUAAUUAUUUUUCUAAAUAGUGUGCUCAUCGUUGUAAUUUUGUUUAUAUAAAAACAUUUUACCAUAUCUUGGACAUUAUUAAAAUAACAAAUAAAAUGUAAAAUAUAUUAAUUCUAAUGCUACUUUCAGGGCAUAUAUUUUUUAAAAGAUUCCAAGUAGUGACAUUAAUUACCGACAUAUAGACAUUGAGAAACUUAAAAGUAUUAUCAUACAGUGUCUCAACUUUUUGUUUAAAUUGAAAUAAAAGAAGCGAAACAACAAUAUAAUGCCAUAGACAAUGAUAUUAUAAAAAAUAUUUAUCGUUUCUAAAUGUAUAUUAUUUUCAGCAUUAUUAAUUUUUUUAAAUGAAUUAUCUUUUUAUUAAAAAAUCUUGUAUGGAUGCAUUUAGGCCAACACAGUACUCUAUUUAUAGCGAAAUAACCAAACAUUUAGUUUGUUUAAAAGUGAAAAAAGGGUAGCAAGAAGGCAGCAUUCGAUCUUUAAGAAUCCUACCUUAAACGCUGCACAAUUAAAUUUAAAAAUAAUGUUUUUUAUUAGUAGUUUUUCUUAGUAAAAAAAAUAAAUUAAUUUAUUGUGUACUCAGAUGUUUAUUUUAGAAGUAAAUCUGUAACAUUCUAGUUAAAAAAAAAAGGUUAUAAAGACAGUUUAUGUUUCAACACAAACUGAAAAACGACCCCCAAAGUGGUCUAACUAGAGUCUUCACCAGGAUUCGAACACGGGACUUCCAGUUCGAAGUGCUUUACCACUAAGCCACAGCAUCUCCAUAUAUUCAUUUAGCGUACACUUAUAUUUUUUUAAAUAAUAAUUUUUAACCUUAUCCAUUCAAAAUUGAUUACAUGCUACAUGCAAUAAAGAGAAACUAAAAAAGAUUUAUUCUUCUUACAAAAUUAGAUAAAUUGGCAACACGAAAAAAAAGAGUUCAUCUAUUUUAGUUAGGUAGUGAGCUAGCUAGAAAUGACUUGAAAAACUUGGAGUAGGACUACUUGGACCAGACAUUCCCCUCACAAAAUAAAAAUUAAUAUCUUCAUCGCCAUUUGUCACACAAACUAGACAUAGCUCUAGCUAGAUCUAGACCUAGUUUUAGAUCUAAAUCUAGAUUCAAGAUCUAAGUCUAGGUCUAGAACUAGAUCUAAGUCUAGGUCUAGAACUAGAUCUAAGUCUAGAUCUAGAAGUAGAUCUAAGUCUAGAUCUAGAUCUAAUUGUAGAUGUAAUUCUAGAUCUAGAUCUAGAACUAGAUAUAGAAUCUUGAUAUAGAAUCUACUAUAUCUAAACUUGAACUAGUAUGAAUUUACUCGUUUAAUCUUAAAAUUACUAGACCUAGGCAAAUGUUAUGAUCAUGAAUAGUAGGCCUUUUGUUACCGCGUAAUGUCUUUACCAAUGGUGUACUAUGCUGUUCGUAUUCAAUUCAUUUCGUAC